GCCUGCGGCACGCCCCCUGCGCACCGCUGCGCCAGCCAAUGGGGAGCGAGGGCGGGGCGGCGGGGUGGCCGUUAGUGCCGGUUGGCGGCGGCUCCUGCGUGCCCCGCGGCGGGCGGCGGAACCCGGCCCUGAGGGCCGGGCCGGGGGCGGUGACCCAGUCAACCUGGGGGUCCCGGGCGGGCUGCGCUCUUCCGAGGCGGCGUGUAUCGUACAGCUUUUGGUUGCUCCUCCGUGCGCACAAGGUCCCACCGGGCCCCUGGCCGCCCAGUCUCAGGGAUACACCGCUGUGCUGAGGUGAUGGCCAGGCCUAUCCCUCCUUUAAGCGGCCUGCACAGCUCGUCUUCUCCUCCCGGGGCGAGUAUUUAUUGCUUUAUCGCUCGUUGUCGCCUGUAAGCACACUUAGAGAAGCCUUUUCUCUUCAGCGGUUUAACGAGUAGCAGUUACUGUUGAUGUACAUGUGCACAUUGCGAGGGUGUUCCCUGCUUAUCCUUCACUUCGACCCGGUUUACCUCCAGUUUCCAAUGCUCAAAUUUUGUCAGCGUACCUUGCAUUUUACUAGAGUAUGCUUCCAGCAGAAGAAAGAGUCCCACAAUUUCCAAGAACUGUGAAAAUUAUCUCUUGAGAAGGAGUGCUAUUCAUGGUAUCUUCUGAAGCCAGAAUGGGAGAGGAGUCUUGUCAGGAGUCCAACCAGAACUCUGAAAGUAAGAGGCCACAUGAAGAAGUCUAACAUGCUGGACUUCCUGCUGAUGCACAGAGGUAUCCAUAUUGGAGGUGUGUGGGAAAUUAUGGCAGGUCCAUGGAUUCCCUGACAGAAGGUAUGGGAACAGAGAUCAGCCUUGAAGAUACUAAGGUUUAUCUAUGAGAAGGAUGGGAAUAAAGGAGUAUCUGAAGAUAUUAACAUGUACCUAUGAGAAAGAAGGGAGUAAAGAGUAACAUUGAUGAUAGCAAAAUUAGCCAAUGAGAUGUUACUGCUGUAACUUGUAACCAGUAGUGAAGAGACACAUGAAUUGGUAAAACUGUAUAAAAAUGCACUUGUAACAAUAAAUGGCAUCUACUACUUUCAUCCUGGAAGAACUUGGUCCAUGUCGUUUGUCCAUCUCAACCGCGGCACAGGUACAGUGAAUUCAUUCUCCCGGAGAGGUAGGAUCCCCGAAUAUCUGCAGUAGGUUUAGGGUGUCUGAUAUUGAGCGUCAUGUGGCUUGACUGUGUGGUUGCAUGACUGCUAAAUCUAGUGCAAGACGGGCAAGGGGAGCCCUGGGGAGAUGGCGAGCAGGCCUCCCUUCUCAGUCACAGCUUGCUGGUUGCUCAGUUUCACUGUAACAUGAAACUGCACCAUGAGUCAGGAGCUCCUGAGUGCUAAUCAUGGCUCUGAUAUCAACUCCAUCUAUGGCUGCAAGCAGCUUAUUUAACUGCAGGGUUGGUGUCUGUCAAGUUUGAAUAGCAGUAGCUAGGUACUUGAGAGCACGGUAAGGUUCAAUUAGGUAAUGUUUAUUGAGUAUUAAUUAAAUAUUUUAAUUUCCAAAGUGUUGAUUAAAAAUGCCUGAAUGUAGAGUCAUCAUGUUCUAGUUGUACAGUCACAUGUCCCAAAGGUUUAUUCAUCUAAUAAACAUCAGGGCACAGGUUUAUUUAUCCAGAAAUCAAGACAGCACAGCAUGUGUCCCCAGUGUCUUACUGAAACCAGUUAUCAUGAUGGAAUUGUUUAUUUUUGAGGAGAGAAACUUUGAUUUGAAAGAGCUGUUUUGUCUCCUGUGGAUACAAUCUGUCACAAUUCAAUUUUGCAUAUAUAGUAUAUGUAUUUGCCAGGUAAAGAAGGAAUAUCUGACUGAAUGUGACUUCAUUACUAUUUCUGUAUUAGUUUUCCACUGCAUUUGGUAUUCAGAAGACCUAUGUAGUAAUUGCCUUGAAAAUACUGGGCAUCCCUCCCUAGCUUCAGCCAAGUGACUGACUAUUUACAACUCUAAUUAAACGCUGCAGUUCAGUGAUGGCGGGAGACUUAGGUAGUUCCUCAGCAUUCAUGUGGCAAUAAUGUGCCUAGGUUAUUAGGUUGAGAUGCUAAAAAGUUGAAGAUGACUCAGGCCUCUGUUGGGAUUAAGAGACGUACAGUGGAUUGCAGGGCCAGAAAGCUGAUGUCUUAAAAGGCAGGCAUAUCCAAAUGAGAUAAACUGAUAGAAGCAUCCCUGUGGUCUAGCAUGCCUCAGAUUAAGUUUGGCUGAAAUACUGUGUUUCAACGGAGGCUUCUUUGCUAGAUAAUCUGCCCUCUUUACUAAGUACCUUGUCUCAGUAAGAGGUUCAGCUGGUGCACUGUGAUGAGUGUAUUUCAUAUUUCAGUCCUUUUACUCGAAAGAAUAACUGGCAAAUCUUUGUACAAUGUCUUUCUCUCAGAUCUCCAUUACACGAAUAAACAAAAUUGCUUGUUACUGAAUGUACUAUUCUAACUGCUGUCUAUCUCAUUGCAGACCCUAAAGAAAGUGAAUGUACUAGCCAUGGUGAAACAGUGGUGGUUAGAUUGAUUUGGACAAUUUGAAACUUAGCUGUGCAUUAAAAUCUCCUUGAUUGCUUUUCACUUAUGUCUUUAUGAGAUUUAUAAUUAUGUCAGGGAAGUACCCCAGAGGUCAGAAGGGUUUAGGGUACCUAGACAUUAACUGCAGAUACCCAGAGGCAAGGUAUAUGCCAGCUGCUCAUGUUUCACAGCAAGACGCGCAUAAAUUUUCAAAGCCCUGACAGCCUAAAAAGUGAACUUUUGGAGGCCCCAUAUCUCUUCCUU